GGAAGAGUAGCUCAGUUGGUAGAACAUCAGACUCUGAAUCUCAGGGUUGUGCGUUCGAGCCCCAUCUUGGGUGAAUGAUUCCU